GCGCGCUCCUUAUGAGAAUCUAACGCCUGAUGACCUAUCACUGUCUCCCAUCACUCCCAGAUGGGACCGUCUAGUUGCAGGAAAACAAGCUCAGGGCUCCCACUGAUUCUACAUUAUGCCUUUUGCAGCUCCUGCAUGUGGAUACCAGCACCAGCAGCUCCCCGACCAGGGGCCCCAGCUAAGCCCUCCCAGAGGAUGAUCUUGGCUUUGUACAUGGGGUGUCAAUAUCCUGUGAGUCCAACAGAGGGAAGACAUAAGAAUAUGGUCACCCAGGUUUUGUACAGAGGAAAUCCAGGCUCCUAACGAUGGCGAAAGAUGGGAAUAAAAGGAUCAGAACACUGAGCUGGAUCUUCAGUUCAUUUCAGGUAUGGAGAAGGGUAAAUGGUCUUUAAAGAA
rnacentral:lncRNA from 10 species